CUCUUCUGCCUAAACAGGGCUAGGAACCCUUCCUGCUUUCUUCUGCAACUCCCUUUUUGGGUUUUUUUUUGUUUUUGUUGUUAUCUCUGCUUUUUGACAAUUCUGCCUCAUCUCAGAUUAGAGCUCUGAUUGGUUGAAGCUUCUAAGCAUCUUAUCUCUCUAUGUGUGGUGUGGCUUUGGUGACUCUCUCUCUCUCUCUCUCUCCCUCUGUCUCCAUUUCCUCCAUAGACGAUGAUCCUCUUUGUAUUCUUCCACAGCUUUCUUGAACUGCAUCCAUGAGAUCGAUCGAUCUUUGCAUGUGAGGCUGCAGUCACUCACUCACUCUCUCUCUCUCUCUCUCUCUCUCUCUCUCUCUCUCUCUAACUGGCUUGCGGUUCAAUAAAGCUGUGGGAAGAUACAGAUAGGCUCAAUAAAAAAUCACUAUCCGAUCUUCAGCAUCACACAUAUAUAUAUAUAUAUAUAUUUAUAUCUUGGUAUGAAGCCUAAACUUACAAUUUACAAAGACAUUUUAAAUCACUCAAAUUUUGUCUCACUUUGCACAAUUGUCACUUGAUUUGUUUCUCAGUACCCAUAAAAAUUCAGUCUUUCAUGAUUUUGAAGUAGGUGGUGGAUGAUGGGUGUUUUUCUAAACCAUGCCAUAAUGAAAAAUUAUCUCAACCCUAAUACUUCAUAAGGGGCUUUUAGAAGCUUUUCGUUUCGGAUUACAUGGAGAUCUGAUUUCUCUACCUGAUCUCGGUGACAAUGCAUCCACAUGCAGUUCCUCUGGGGAGAAAUCUUCACCCUCCUUCUGAUCGAUGCUUCAGAGAACAUUCUGGAUAAGUCGUUCUCUCUGAUCCAUUUGUACUUUAUGAUUCAUUCAACAGUAUUUAACGUUUGACAUUGUUUAUUAAUUCCAGCAGAGAUUAGAUUCUUGUCUUUUCAUUAUUUUGUUUAUAAUGAUAAUGUUCUUCAUUUAAUUAGGCAUUCUUUACAGUGUGCGCACAUGAAUGUUUAUAUUUUCUUAAAUUUGCAUCAAAACAUAAGAGCUGAUUAAACUCGUAACAUCCUAAAUAUGAUACAAUGUGCCUAUCGAUCUGUACAUCUAUACACUAGUGUCGUUCGAUAACGUGACAGAUCGUUCAACUUCAGUAGUCGAGUCAUUUUUAUAUACAUGAGAUUUCUGAGAUUCAAUUAGGGUCAAACAUCGUUUUAUCAUAUCUGCCUCAUUCGUGAGUGACUUUCACUAAGUCAUUGCAGCCUCAUUACUUUGCAUCCGUUUCUCAUCUGCCAUGCCGUCUCUUGCUACAUACCAUUAUUUCACUUGUUGAGUGUAAUAAGGUACGUUCAGUUGAUAUAGCUAGGCUUUCUCUUAUUGGUUUUUCCUUUUACACAAGUAUUGAGAGCUAUGAAACCCAAAACACAUGGUAAGGUAAGGUUUGUGCUGCAUGGACCACGAGGUUUUGUGUUGUUGCCUUUCCUUUUCUCAUAUCGAGCUCUCACUUUUACUUGCUAGCUUUGGAGCAAUUAUUUGAAAUCUUAAGGGUUAGGUGAAGCUUUUACAUAUGUAUCAAAUAAGGAACAAAAUGCAUAAAGCAAGAUGAUUUAACCAAGAGAUGUCGUGUUGCUUUGCCUGAAGAAAAUUAGGGUUAUGGUUCCCCAAAUAUGCUAAGGAUCUACCAAGUGUGAAAAAGGGCAUCCACAUUUUUCACUGGCAAGGUCCUAACUAAGAGCCAAAGCAAGAGUAUUCAUGGCUGUGUCAUCUCCACACAAGAAUUCGGAUGGAUUUGCAGAUGCUGCUCUCACGGGGAUUUGAAUACAUCCAAUUAAUAGGACCAACCCCUUUUGUCACCCUAAAUUAAUGAGCCAUCUCCACAGGUCAUAUGAUCCAACAUGUAUACAGGUCCUAAUGUCGCCCACUAAUCUAAAAUGUAUUAUAGUUGCUCAUCUUUCAUUUGCUGUAACCCAUAUUCGUAAUAUGACAGAUCUUAUAAAUUUGGAUUUUCUUUGCGGUUA